rnacentral:tRNA from 1 species
GCCUGGGUGGCUCAGUCGGUAGAGCGUCCGACUUCAGCUCAGGUCAUGACCACACGGUUGGUGGGUUCAAGCCCCGCGUCGUGCU